rnacentral:sRNA from 1 species
GAGAGCUUGUCCCCUCGUGCGAAGCACGAUUAUCAUGGGGACAAGCGACCUGCCGCCGAGUCGGCAGACGAGGGGGCAGAUCCACAG